rnacentral:lncRNA from 1 species
UCUCUCAUCUCAUUUGUCCCUCUUUCUCCCUCUCAUUGAAACAAAAUCGGUUCACUUCCUCUGCAUCUCGUCGGCGACAACCACACAAUCAAUCUCUUCCCACACACUCAGAGUCGCUGCCGUGAGUCGUCGUCGUGUUCUGUUACAGUCUCCGCCGUCGUUAAUUCUGUGUCUUUGUAUCUUUCCAAUCGGCGUUGCUUCACUAUCUCCUUUGUUGGAUGGAUUGUCUCUGCUUUAACUUUGUUGAAGGUGAACUUUAUCUUAUUGGUUCUUCAAUUUCUGGGUUCAUGGUUUGCAUUUAGGGUUUUUGAUGUUUUGAAUUUUUUUCUUCCAAAAUUGGUUAAAACAUAUUUCUCUCUCCAACAUCUGAUACAUGUGUGUGACUAAGUGAGGAAUUCUAUAAUUUUAUUGUGAUAUUGUGAAAGCAAAUCUGCACUUUAUGGGAUACUGUUAUAAUGAAGAGUUGAUAAUUAGUUGCUUGUUAUAUAAUUAGUUAAACAUCAUCUAAAUUAACCACCAUAUGUAGCUUAAAAAUAAUAACCUUUAUUUUUUCUUGAGUUUUCAUAACCAUAUCAAUUUAGGAUUUUGUGUGAAGGUAGACCACCUUAGGUGCACAAACACAUUUCUACCAUUCUUAGUUGACAUAUUUAACAUAUUGAAAGCAACAUUUCUGUAGAAUCAUCUUUGGAAGUUGUCAUUGACUACAUCUUUAUAAAUUGAAUGCUCAAACUAGAAAUUUCAAUCUCUGCUAUAGCUCAUUGUCAACUACAUCUUUGUUUGUAUAACUGUCCCAGACUAAAGUUAUAGAUGCGUAAUAAAUGGUUCAUUUUCAGGUACAGUUAAAGCAUAUUUUUGAAACAAAAUCAUUUAUAGAAGUCAAUAAAAAAGCCGAGUCAAGCUCAAAAGAAUCAACUUCAAGCGACUACGUUCAAUUUUUUUAAUUUUAGUUUUAUUAUGUGAUGUACUUAUUCGGCCAUGUAUAAGAUAUGAUUAACUUAUUUAGUUUCAGUUUUAUUGUUUGAAGCACUUAUUCCACCAUGUAAAUGAUAUGGUUGUAAUGUUCUACAAAUUCAUGAGCAUAUUAUAAAAUUACUUGUAAAUGUACAAAGUAUGAACAAUCGAU